rnacentral:rRNA from 1 species
GACGAACGCUGGCGGCGUGCCUAAUACAUGCAAGUCGAACGCACAGUUUAUACCGUAGCUUGCUACACCAUAGACUGUGAGUUGCGAACGGGUGAGUAACGCGUAGGUAACCUGCCUGGUAGCGGGGGAUAACUAUUGGAAACGAUAGCUAAUACCGCAUAAUAUUGAUUAUUGCAUGAUAAUUGAUUGAAAGUUGCUAUUGCAUCACUACCAGAUGGACCUGCGUUGUAUUAGCUAGUAGGGGAGGUAACGGCUCACCUAGGCGACGAUACAUAGCCGACCUGAGAGGGGGAGCUGCCACGCUGGGACGGGGACACGGCCCAGACGCCUACGGGAGGCAGCAGUAGGGAAUCUUCGGCAAUGGACGAAAGUCUGACCGAGCAACGCCGCGUGAGUGAAGAAGGUUGUCGGGUCGUAAAGCUCAGUUGUAAGAGAAGAACGGGUGUGAGAGUGGAAAGUUCACACUGUGACGGUAUCUUACCAGAAAGAGACGGCUAACUACGUG